AACAAAACUAUACAGUGCAACUGUUUUAUCAACUUGUGAACAGAAAUCAAGUUGUGUUUAAAGGAAGGAACCAGAAGCACAUUGUGAAGAGUAAGGAAAGAAGUUAAUGCAAAAGAACCUGUACAAGUUACUUUUACUUUGUAACCAUUAGGCAGAGUUACAAGAUAAGGAACAGUCAAAUGUAUGAUGUUAAAGAGUAGGUUUUUAUCAUGUGUCAUGU
rnacentral:lncRNA from 1 species